AGGGAAGAGGCCAUGCAAUAUACUGAAUCAAUCAAUGGAACCUACUUUGAAACAUCUGCUUUAAAUGAUGAUGGUAUUGAAGAUGUUUUUCUGAAUGUAGCUGUUGGUUUGAUCAAAAUGAGUAAAAACCCAAAUCUGAAGCAUAGUCUGCGGGUGUACAAUUCUGACAAUGCGCCCAAUCCAUACCUAGACGAUGCAGGAUUAACACGCUAUGGUCUUUCCAGCAUAGAAUUGAACGAACCUCUCGGCAGUGAAGCAAAGUCUCCGAUGUGUUGUUAACUUUAAGUAUUAUCUUUUCUCUUCUAUUUUAAUGUAAUGUUCUCUUCCUCACUUUCCCUGUCAUUGUACCUAUGUCAAUGACUUGACUGAUAUUGCAAUCUUUAAUCUUUUCAAUUGGACUACAUUUUGCAGUAAUGGAUUCCCAUUUCUGAUUCAUCAGUAGAAGCACCUGUCUGCAUUCUGCAUAGAGACAUUUAUGGUGUAUGAGUUGUUUUUUUAAAAUAAGCAUGAAGUAGUAGCUCCUAAUUGCAAAAUUUAGUCCGAUUUCUAUUUCAUUUUAGCAACAUUCUGAUCUUCAAAGGAAAGCAUUUAUGACAUAUUUAUGACAUUCCAAGAGAACUACUGCAUUCCAAAAACAGUAUCUAAAGCUGAGAGCACAUGUUUUCUCAUCGAUAUUUUGAGCAGAAUACAUUAAUCACAUCGAAAACUCCCAACAGUAACUUGCUAGUGAUAAAUGAACGUCUGUAGUUAAAAAAACUACUUGCAGGCCUAAUCAAUGUAGGUCACUUCAGGCAUUGAAGUCAACCUGUACGUUUGUCAGAUAACCAAAACUUGUCUUCAUACACAUUUCUUCCCCCUCUAACACAAGAUACCUGUAAUCUUGUAAAAAAAAAGUUAGUACACAGGAAAAUUCUCCCAUCGUAAAAUAUACUGAAAUUAGUCUAGUGCUGGAUUUGACUUGAAAAGAUACAAGUUUUCCCAUGGGCGAGAACUGUGGAUUAACGUAAACAAAGAUCAUCAUUUUGUUCCUUAUAGACUGAUUUCAGAAAAUUUCAAUGCAUCCAUUGUAUUAUCAGUAAAAUUUUGAUGUGGAAACAAAAACAUGAUGAUCCAAGAGUCCCGCACCAUCCUUGUAAGCCUUAGAAUUCCUGCUUUUUUUCAGGCAGGUCCUUUGAAAAUUUUGGAGGGCUCCAAAAGUCGUUUAUCUUACCCAGGAGCAAUCGUAAAAUUUCAAGUCUAUUUUUGAUUAGUCUUUCUCUAUCUUGAUUUGUUCAAAAAAAAACCAGGGGUGCAAGUGAUGCCUGGCACUAGUGGAGCGGGACUUUUGGAUCAUCCUGUAUUUUGAUGCUUCUGUCUAGUAGUCCAUUACCGCUUUCCUAUCCUUUUGUAUGUAUUAAAAAAUAUUGAAGUGUAACUUUACUAAGAAUGGAGCUUACCUUAAAUUUAUUUUACUUUAUCUAUUCUUUUGAAUUAUCAUUUAUUUUUAUAGAUCUGAUAAAAUUAAUUUUCUUGCUUUAGACUAAGGAGCGGUGUUCGAGAGGUUAGAUAUUGAUUCUUUUGUGUAAUAAGAUAGUAUAGUAUAUUUUUGAAGUUUCUGGCUUAAUUGGUACAGAUUCUUUUUGUGAGAAUGUCAUUGGAAACUGUAAUUGCAGCUGUUGUAUUUCUUUGUCUUGUUUUUUUUCUGGUGAGACACAACUUUUAGUAUCCAGAGUAAAGGUUGAAAAAAUUAUUGCAGUCAACUCUGAAUUAUUCGAAAUUCAAAGGACCAGAGACUAAUUUGAAAUCAAGGGAGUUAAGCAGUAGAAAUCGAAUUCGAGAGCUCUUUACAAAUUUUCUUCCAUUGUUUAUGUAUUACAAUGAAUGAAAAGUGCCAGACAUCGUCCUUUUGUUAUUCUGGGAAACUACGCAGUUUUCAGUUGACAGAGAGCCAAUUUGGUAUCUUCUCAAAGUUAACCUGCCAACAUUUUCGGAUCCUAGAGAGUUCCGCUGUGAAAUGUUCAAUUACCAAGGUAAUUUGUCUACAUUAGCCCCAUAAAAAAUUUGAAUAAUUCAGGGAAAAAAUACAUAAAUUUAUUUCAUACUAUCAUGGUUUUUUAAGGAAAUAUCAGUUUACUUUAUACUAAUGAGAGUUUCAAAUUAUUGAGUGUUGACUGUAAUGUUUUGAAAUUUUAUGCUCACAUGGGUCACCCUGAAAAUUGAGUAUUCAGUGGACUUCCUCUCAGAAUUUCAGUAAACUCCCUAGUGCCAAGUAUGUAAACUAACGUAUCUUUCCCAUGAAUGAUUUAAUGGAACAAUUUCUUUUGUUAAAAUUGUUUUCUGUUGUUGUUGACAUGUGCCUGAGCUGAGCUUUUUAUGCAAACGUGGAAAGACUGCUGAUGUUUUCCACGAAAAAAUUACGUGUUAAUUUACUUUCUUGGCUCUUUCGAAGUUUUUCUCUUUCUAACAUGUUCUUUAAUUUUGACUUUGUUGCUGCACGAUGGACUGAGUUUAACAAUAAGGGACAAAGUCAUAUUUUCAACUGAGUGUAAUUUUAAGCUCAUGAAAUUGAAUGAUUAUUUGGAAAUCUAUAUCAAUGACAAAAAUCAAAAUUGCCUACUAGUCUACAAAUCUUUCUUAAUACUUGAUAUUUUUCUUAUUCCUGAUAUUUGUGCGAUAGAUGGAAGGCAAUUUAACUCUGAAAUCCAAGAUAUAACUUUGUCACUCCAUAUCUCCUCAUACAUUCCUAUUUUAUUUUUUACCUUCACUGUAAUCUCUCUUUUUCUUUCUCCCUUUUGAGGUGAAAAUAACUGUAAAAGUUCAGGCACUAUUCAUCGUACUACUACUUACCAAUAGUUCUAGGUGUUCCAUAUACCUAAAAUUGUUUUGUGUUUCAAUAAUUAAUUUAAGUUCAAAAUCACCAAGUGCCAAAUUAUGCAAACACGAAUAAUUAUCAUGAAUCUUUGCUAAACCUAAACAUUUAGCAGUCUAAAAUAAGGGUGAAAUUCCUUCAUAACCAUUCUGUGCUUCUUUUUUAUCAUCAUCAUCAGUACAUGUAAUAUUCAAUCUACUUAUCAUCACACCUAAGCAUCAUUUAUUUUUUAAUAACCGUGUGCCUUAAUGUAAUAUGAACACUAACCAUAAUUUCCUGUGCCUUGAAGUAUUUCCUUCAUUUCUAUCGAUGGACAAAUAUUUUCAAUAUUUUUUUUUUUUAAUUUUACGAUAAAUUUUGAGCAGUGGAAAUUGUUUUUGAUUUUUCUUCUCAAUUUUAUAUUUAUUGCCAAGAAGAAACCUUGAACAAGGCAGAGUAAAAAAGAGCCACUUUUUUAUCAGAUUGUAAGAAAUGCCUAAUUGCCCAAGUAUUAAAUAUUUCAUGUAUGGUUAAGUGGAAACAUAUUCAAUACAUCAUAAAAAUUAAGUAAAGUUUGCUAUCAAAAGCAGGUUUACAGCCCAGCAGUGCUCUUGAAGUGAAUAUUUCGGUGGAUAAAAGGCACACUGAAAUCUCAUAGCUCUUAUGCCCUUCUUUCAAUAAAUUACUAGAUUUUUGUCUCUAUAUAUGGACUUAAUGCUCAUCAAAAUGUCAACCUCCUCCUCAAUUUUUUUUAGUGCGAUGGUGUUACAUGAAUUGUGCGCAUUCUGGUACCAAUUAGACGUAAUGUCUAUGUGCAUCUUUCUAUAGUACAAUCAUUUUCCAAUUGUUGCAUUUCAGGUUUUACGCCAUAUGCAAGUGUGCAAUAUUCUAAUAGCAAAUUUUUCUUUGACAAAUUAAAGCAUACAUUUAUUUGUACAAAACUCAGACAGUUUUAUUUGUCUCUCUACUGAGGUUUAGAGAGUAGUAUCUUGUUUUAUUAUCACUAAGUUAACUUAUUAAAACUGACAAAAUGAACCCAUAUGAAAAGAAGGAAAAAAACUUUACAUUGCAUAGGUAUACUAGUGAGCAAGUAAAUUUCAAAUUCAUUCUGUGGUUUCAAUUGUUGAGCAUGUGUUCUGAUUUGUGAUUAUGUCUAAUUUUCAAGAAAAUUCUUUUUUUAUUGAUUGUAAUAUAGGGUAACAGAGCCAUCAGCUUGCAUUUUGGCGUACAAUAUCUUCAUUUCUGCAAGCUUAUUUUGUUGAAUUGGUAAUUGCUGAAGUUUGCAUAACAGGUUGAAUACAAAAGAGCGAGGAUUUUGUUUAUGUAGCCAAACCCUUUCUGGUUGGAAUCAGCUUCUAUUAUUUUAGAGAAGUAAAAGGUCCUUUUUUUCAUACUUUUUUUUGGCAUUUUUAUUUCUAUGGCUCUCCCACCAUAUUGGUUGUUCUUUACAAUUUUAUUUUAUGAAUGAUCACUGUUUGCAAUGGUGGCUCAUGCAUAGAUUCAAGGAAAGUUAAAUGCCCGCAGAAAUAUUUAAUCCAACUCCUCUCUUCAAUUUUAUUUGCCAUUCUUCCUGCUAUAACAGUGGUUUCAAUUAUGAAUCCAUAUUCAUCACACGGGAACGAUUCCUUUUUCUAAGGAAACGAUAAAUGUGUAAGUAAGUACUCAGCCUGAUUUUAGGGGCCAUUUGGAUAAGGAUUGUUCCUCUGUAACUAAUAUGGGUUCAUAAAGGAACAUGAUGGAAACUUACUCAUUUUUCAUAUUGCCAUGAGCUGCCUAUGGUUGUUAUUAUUAAGUAUGGGUGAUCAUCAAUAAUUUAUCCUACUUAUCAAUUUUAUAUCUUUACCUAUGUAUUACUUUUUUAGGCACUAUUAUGUUUUAUGUACCAUUUUGCAAUAAAAAUUCUUUUUUUAAACGAAAAUAAAUACACUUUUUGUCUAAUCCUCCAUAAGCUCCCACUCAGUGAACAUUGUUAGGAUUAUGAACGUUUAAUUAUCAUAUAUUAU
rnacentral:lncRNA from 1 species